rnacentral:rRNA from 1 species
UACGAAGGGGGGCUAGCGUUGCUCGGAAUCACUGGGCGUAAAGGGUGCGUAGGCGGGUCUUUUAAGUCAGGGGUGAAAUCCUGGAGCUCAACUCCAGAACUGCCUUUGAUACUGAAGAUCUUGAGUUCGGGAGAGGUGAGUGGAACUGCGAGUGUAGAGGUGAAAUUCGUAGAUAUUCGCAAGAACACCAGUGGCGAAGGCGGCUCACUGGCCCGAAACUGACGCUGAGGCACGAAAGCGUGGGGAGCAAACAGGG